rnacentral:rRNA from 1 species
UCAAAUGUUUAUUAAUAUAAAAAAUUAAAAUAUAAGAAGAAGUGGAAUAAAAUAAAACAGUGAUGGGAUUAAAUUUGAUUAUAGUAGGUUAUCGUACCUUUUGCAUUAUGGGUUUACAAGGUAUAAUAUUAAUAUUAAUUUCUCGAAACUUUAAUGAGCUAGAAUAUAAUUGUUAAGAACUAAUAAGUCAUUGUUGCAUUAAUUUAUAAAAAUUAUAUUUUAGAAGUUAUACACUAAUCGCAUUAAGUUAUAGCUAGUUUCUAUUAUUACUAUAAAUUAGUGAAUUUAUAAAGUUUUGAUUUUUAGGGGACAAGCUCUAAUAAUAAACCAAUUGUACAUAAAAUUAUAACAGGUAGACUUAGAAUCAGUCACUAUAAAUACUUUAUCGUAGUUAUAAUAUAUUUUAAUGAAUUAAUGGAAAAAUAAAAUAGAAUGAUUCAUGAAUCAAUUUAGUAUUAUAUAAUGUAAAUAUCAGUAGUUAUUAAAAUAGUAUUAAUGAAUUCGGCAAAGUAAAUUUUCGACUGUUUAGCAAAAACAUUUCCUUAUGAUAUAGAGAUUUAAGGUAAACCCUGCCCAAUGAUUAAUUGAAUGGCCGCAGUAUUCUGACUGUGCAAAGGUAGCAUAAUAAAUUGUUUAUUAAUUGUAAACUGGUAUGAAGGGGAUUACGAAAAAUUGACUGUCUCUAUACUAUUUAUCUAAUUUAAUCUUUAGUGUGAAGAAGCCUAGAUUUAAUUGUUAGACAAGAAGACCCUAUAAAGCUUAAUUUUAAUAUAAAGAUAGUUUAUAUAAAAUUUGAUUGGGGCGAUCUUUGAUUUAUUAAACAUCAAUUUUUUUAUGAUUAAUAGAUCUUUAUUUGACCCUUUAUUAGAUCAGAAGAUUAAGUUACUUUAGGGGUAACAGGCUGAUUUUAUACAGGAGUACUUAUCUAAUAUAAUGUUUGGCACCUCGAUGUUGACUUAAGAAACCUACAUGGCGCAAGAGCUUUAGUAAGGGGGUUUGUUCAACCCUUAAAAUCUUACAUGAGUUGAGUUCAGACCGGCGUGAGCCAGGUUAGAUUCUAUCUACAAUAAAUUAAUAUUUUUGCUUGUUGUACGAAAGGACCUAAGUAUUUCUAUUAUAGAGUUAAUAUUGUUAGCUUU